UACGGGGGGAGCAAGCGUUGUUCGGAUUUACUGGGCGUAAAGGGCGCGUAGGCGGUCAGCACAAGUCAGUUGUGAAAUCUCCGGGCUUAACUCGGAAAGGUCAACUGAUACUGUGCGACUAGAGUGCGGAAGGGGCAACUGGAAUUCUCGGUGUAGCGGUGAAAUGCGUAGAUAUCGAGAGGAACACCUGCGGCGAAGGCGGGUUGCUGGGCCGACACUGACGCUGAUGAGCGAAAGCGUGGGGAGCAAACAGG
rnacentral:rRNA from 1 species